rnacentral:rRNA from 1 species
GUCUAUGGCCAUGCUACUCUGAACGUGAUCUCAUCUGAUCUUGGAAGCUAAGCAGGGUCUGGCCUGGUUAGUACUUGAAUGGGAGAACACCGAGGAAUACCAGGUGCUGCAGGCG